rnacentral:rRNA from 1 species
UACGAAGGGGGCUAGCGUUGCUCGGAAUGACUGGGCGUAAAGGGCGCGUAGGCGGUGAACACAGUUAGGCGUGAAAUUCCCGGGCUCAACCUGGGGGCUGCGUUUAAUACAUGUUCGCUUGAGUUCGGAAGAGGGUCGUGGAAUUCCCAGUGUAGUGGUGAAAUACGUAGAGAUUGGGAAGAACACCAGUGGCGAAGGCGGCUAUCUGGACGGUUUCUGACGCUAAGACGCGAAAGCGUGGGGAGCAGACAGG